rnacentral:lncRNA from 1 species
CUCAGCAGUCAGCGAAGAGCGCUCUAACGCGAAGGACGUGGGAGAAAGAUCGAUUCGCGUUUUAAAAUCCAUAAUAUAUAUCUAUAUGUAUAUGUGCCGGUGGGUAUCUCGAGCAUCAACCGAACACCACCACCACCACCACCUCCACCAUCACAACCACCAUCACCACCACUGGUCCCACGUUCUUCUUCUUCUUCUUCUUCUUCUUCCUACUCGAGGAGGAGAAGAAAAAAAAAAGAAAGAAAGAAGUAACAUCAAGCAAGAAGGAGGAACUACUACGACGGUAUGGUACAACGCACGUUCGAAAGAGUCUCUCGAGACUAAUACUCGAUUCGAUCGCACGAUCGAUUCGCGUCGUGACGUCGAUACCUACUUCCGAUAAGCCAUCUGAAAUCGAGCGGAAGAUAUUGUAUCUGAAAGAGGAUCACGAUGCGAGCAAGAAGAUAGUCAAAGAAGAAGAAGAACAACAA